GCCAGGCAUGGUGGCGUGCACCUGUAAUCCCAGCUACUUAGGAGGCUGAGGCAGGAGAAUUGCUUGAGCCCAGGAGGCAGAGGUUGCAGUGAGCCAAGAUCUUGCCACUGCACUCCAGCCUGGGCGACAGAGCAAGACUCCGUCUCAA
rnacentral:sRNA from 1 species